rnacentral:ncRNA from 1 species
UUUGCUAGGGGAGCAUCGGCUGAGAAGGAUUUUUUUAAUAUCUGACCCUCAUUACUUGAACCGGGUAAUACCGGCGUAAGGAAGCAGUUUA